rnacentral:lncRNA from 1 species
AGUGAUUGCCACUGUUGCCCGUGGAUGGGUCCCCGAGACUUUGCGAAGUAGGAGCCCCGUGUGAUAGUGCGUCAGAGUUGGGUCUGAGAGCAGUCCUGGCCAAGGCAUUAACAGGAUCGUCUCCAGAGCCUGGGAUUCUCGGAGGGUUGACCACCAGGAAGAAACCUCAGAAGGAAGAAACCUCAGAAGGUAAGAUUGGGGAAGAUGCCAGGUGAUAGAAUCCACCCUGCCUCUGACAGCAUCCAAUCUGGAGCAAAGGCUUAUUUCAACCCUCCCCCAAGCUCCCAAUACAAGCCCAAAUUCUGGAACAGGUCCUUUCCAACACCUCCUUCAGAGAAGCUCCCUGGCUCCAGGCAGUGCUUGCUCCCCUCACUGCAGCAGGAAGCCUAACUUGCGAACUGCAGGUGUGCUCCAGGUGGUCACUGGAUGCAAGGCAUUGACAGAUGGAUCCCAUCGAUACCCCCACUGCAAAACCAUAGUGCAGUGAAUAGAAGACACUUCUCUGCACCCCAAAAGCUCCAUGCUGAUUGUGAGAAGGAAAUGCUGGAUGGAGGGGUUCCUGGAACUACUGUGAGGGAUGAUACUCCAAAUUGAUACUUAAUAUACAGAAAUGACUAUCAUGGACAUAACCCACAACAUGUGAAAUGUAUGGCUCAUUCUACUGACAUUAUACAGGAAAGUUAAUGACAACUGAAUUUCUAGUCAUUUUCCACCCAACAAGUUGCUUAUAAAAUGUCAAGGAAUUGUAGAAAUGGUGAGAGAACUUUGGAUGUGGAACGUGGAGGAGGAGGAACACGAAGUGGGGAUCUCCACUUGGGGUGGUCAGCACUGCGGGUGCCCAGCAAAGUCACUGCCUGGUCCACAUCCCGGAGGGGUCUCUGCGCCUCAGUCGGCAUCGCAGCUGAUGGUGAAACUUUUGGUGUGGCAGAAGAGUGUCCACAAACUUCGGAAGAUCGCUGCUCAGAGUGAGGAAUGGAGUUGUGUUUUGAAUAAAAUAUCCACGCAUCCUUUUGU